ensembl:lncRNA
AAAAAGCUAUAGGGACAGUAAAAAUAAAUAGACAUAUUUAUUAUUUAUCAAUGGAUAAAGAGGAUCAGUUUGAAUUUAAGGCCACAGAGAUCCCUCAAAAGCCAUGCACAGACAUGCUGAAGGAGGCCUAUCUGAACCUGCUCUCUCUGCGCCUGGAAUUCCAGCGUGAACAGAGCACUCCGGAGGAAGGAGCUUUCCAAACGAAUCUGGUUAAUAAAGAGAAAGACCUCAGUCUGCUCUAUGGAGCACAAAAUGUUUGUUAUUGUACACAGCUCCAGUGCUCUGCCCUCACGCAAUAAAGAUCUGCUGGUGUAUGUAGCACACAUUAUCCUGGAGGAAGAGAAGAGGCAGGGAGAGCCAGGAGCGAUGCAGGGAUGGAGGGAAGCAUGGAGGGAUGCAGUACUAAACGGGGUUCAAGAUACACUGGAGAAAGUUCAUCUGGACAGCCAUGAGCAGAACGCUUCCUGGCUGGCAGUGCAUCUGGGGCUUCUGGGUAAAGCUGUGGAGGAGGAUUUAGAGAGAGUGAAGACUGAACAUCAGACUUUAUUGUGUUUGAAACCUAUGUGUCCUGCUAUCAUGAGGCUGUAGGAGAGCAUCUAAAGAGACUUCUGGAAAAGGUGAUAGAGUGAAAGAUUACUAUGCUCUUCUAGAGUUCAUUAUUCAUCGCUACCCCAUUGAUCUGAGAGUCCAUGAGAGUGCCCUUAUAAUGGCAGAGGACCGGAACAAAAUAAAAACUUCUUACUGUGAUUGCCAAUUGGAAGAGGCAAUGAAAAUAUUCUUAUACUCAGGGACCAUCCUUAAAAUGGCUUUAUCCACUGGGAGAUUACCUUAGCAACAUUAUUGGAAUGGAAAAUGAGAAAAAUAUAAAAGAUAUGCACUGGUUAGUAAUUACCCAGACAUCAGCAAGAAGCAGUUGUCAGCUGUUCUGUCCUUCAGAGACAAUGGUUUAAACUUUGAGAGUGACAAGAAGUGACAAGAAUCUGAUCACAUCACUAGAUUCUCUUGGCCAUUCGGAUGCUUCGGGAACCAUCAGGAACUAUAAACAAUUGCAUUAUUUUAUGAGGCUACUUGUGCUAUUUGCCUCUAACCAUCCAUUAUUUUUUUAGCAAGAAUUUAACCAUUUAACUAUUAUUGUGCAGCCUUAUUUUGGUGUAUGUUUUGGUUGUUUGUACGUAUAUUUUCCAACAGAGGGAGACAUUAAACUAUAGAUGCAAAUUUCGCAUUUCCUCCAUAUUGCCUAAUCAUGCAUAAAGAGACUUGGUGGAUUCAGUCUAUCUACUGUUAUAUCAAUCAAUCAUCUAAAUGUGAAUUAUAAAACACAAUGCUGGACAAAACUGAGUGUGUGCUGUGCAAUAUUAACUCCAGGUGGACUCAGCUCUUGCAACAAAACCUAUUGGUUGGUUAUUCAUAUUUUGUCCCUCC